rnacentral:rRNA from 1 species
UACGUAGGGUCCAAGCGUUGUCCGGAUUUAUUGGGCGUAAAGAGCUCGUAGGCGGUUUCGUAAGUCGGAUGUGAAAACUCAGGGCUCAACCCGGAGACGCCAUCUGAUACUGCGAUGACUUGAGUCUGGUAGGGGAUCACGGAAUACCUGGUGUAGCGGUGAAAUGCGCAGAUAUCAGGAAGAACACCAAUGGCGAAGGCAGCUCUCUGGGACGGUACUGACGCUGAGACGCGAAAGCGUGGGGAGCGAACAGG